UACGAAGGGUGCAAGCGUUACUCGGAAUUACUGGGCGUAAAGCGUGCGUAGGUGGUUUGUUAAGUCUGAUGUGAAAGCCCUGGGCUCAACCUGGGAAUUGCAUUGGAUACUGGCAGGCUAGGGUGCGGUAGAGGGUAGUGGAAUUCCCGGUGUAGCAGUGAAAUGCGUAGAGAUCGGGAGGAACACCAGUGGCGAAGGCGACUACCUGGACCAGCACUGACACUGAGGCACGAAAGCGUGGGGAGCAAACAGG
rnacentral:rRNA from 1 species